rnacentral:rRNA from 1 species
AUUGAACGCUGGCGGCAUGCUUUACACAUGCAAGUCGAACGGUAACAGGGAGCUUGCUCCGCUGACGAGUGGCGAACGGGUGAGUAAUGCGUCGGAACGUGCCGAGUAGUGGGGGGUAACGCAUCGAAAGGUGUGCUAAUACCGCAUACGUACUGAGGUAGAAAGUGGGGGACCUUCGGGCCUCACGCUAUUCGAGCGGCCGACGUCUGAUUAGCUAGUUGGUGAGGUAAAGGCUCACCAAGGCGACGAUCAGUAGCGGGUCUGAGAGGAUGAUCCGCCACACUGGGACUGAGAAACGGCGCAGACUCCUACGGGAGGCAGCAGUGGGGAAUUUUGGAAAAUGGGCGCAAGCCUGAUCCAGCCAUGCCGCGUGUCUGAAGAAGGCCUUCGGGUUGUAAAGGACUUUUGUCCGGGAGCAAAUGCUGGUGGCUAACAUCCACCGGAGCUGAGAGUACCGGAAGAAUAAGCACCGGCUAACUACGUGCCAGCAGCCGCAGUAAAAC